rnacentral:rRNA from 1 species
ACAUGUCCGGAAGCUCGAAGAGAUUUGAGUGUGCUCGCAAGAGAACUGGAACACAGGUGCUGCAUGGCUGUCGUCAGCUCGUGUCGUGAGAUGUUGGGUUAAGUCCCGCAACGAGCGCAACCCUUGUCAUUAGUUGCUACGAAAGGGCACUCUAAUGAGACUGCCGGUGACAAACCGGAGGAAGGUGGGGAUGACGUCAAGUCCUCAUGGCCCUUAUGGGUAGGGCUUCACACGUCAUACAAUGGUCGGGACAGAGGGUCGCCAACCCGCGAGGGGGAGCCAAUCCCAGAAACCCGAUCGUAGUCCGGAUCGCAGUCUGCAACUCGACUGCGUGAAGUCGGAAUCGCUAGUAAUCGCGGAUCAGCAUGUCGCGGUGAAUACGUUCCCGGGUCUU